AAGUCCCUGGCUGGUGACAGCAGGUUAUAUUUGGGUGUAGAGCUCAGGGAAUGGCUUUCCUUCUUACAUUCACUUUUGUUUAAGCUUGCAAAAUGAGGGUCUCUUCUGAAGACCUAAUGAACCUUUUACAUGCACUUUGCAAAGGUAGUAACAGAGUCUCCCCUGAAUAUUUGAUCUCCGGCAACCUUGGUUUCCUUUUACAAGAGGAACUUGACAUUGCUGGCUCUUCUGCUGUGGAACCCUGGCUUCUUGGGUUUCUCUCCUUGCUAUGUAGCACAGCAUGAGGGUUGGACAAGAGCCUGACUGUCAUCCUUUCCUUAAUGUUUUUGUUUGUGUUACUGUCAAGUAUCAUAUUCUUAAAGGUUGAAAUCCUGUCCUUUCUUGAGAGCAGAUUAGAAAAAAAAAACAUGACUAUGUAUUACACUGCCUCUGUAUGAGAUGCCUUUUAUUAUUAAUGAAGGUAUCGUAUUCCAGGGCACACUAGUCACUGGCUUAUUCAGGUCAGGAGCUGGGAACCUUUCUGUAAGCUGUGUUUGGCCUGUAGCCUCACAGUGAUGUGACUACAAAAUAGUUUUCAUUGUAGGUGUUCCACACACAGGCCGUGACCACAGUGCAGCGUGUGGCAGGUAGUGAAGAGAGGUUCAUUUUCCAGCUUAGCUGUUAGCUUUCUGGCAGAGAGGGCAGGGAGGAGCCCUCUCUAGCAACCCCUGUGUCCCACCCUUUUGUCCUUUUGAGAUGAACACUGCUCAUAAUUUGUGGCAGGUCUGUUCAUGUGCCAGCGACUUGAAGUGCUCAACAUAUGUUAUGUCAUUUAAGCCUCAAAAGAAUUUUACAGGGUAGAGAAAAUUAUUAUCUUUAUAAAUAAGCAAACUGAAAGGGACAUUGAAGAAAUUAAAGGGCUCUUGGGAAGCCAGAGGUGGCCCUAGGCUUUGGGGAGUUUGUAGGUGGCCAGCACGCAGGUGGCCUAGGGCCCCUACUUUUUAGGAGACAGAGGUCCUGGAUAGGCGCCAGGAAAGUGGCCCAUGUAAGGGAGGCUCCUUAGCACGCAGCCAGACAUGCUCCUCGGUGGUAGGGAAGGGGACAGACAGAUCGCCUGUAGACAAAACAGCUAUUGAUUUAAUAUUAGAUUUGGUGGGUUCUGUUGAUUCCAUUUGUUUAUAUAGUUUUUUGUCCAUGGGUCUUCAAGAUGAGCCUCAGGUAAAAUUAUCAUUUGACUUGUUGUAAUGGUUACUACUGGGCAUUACACAUGCUCCACAAAGCAAAAAAUAUCCAUAGACUCUUAAUAUGAGCCCCUUGGGCCAGCAAGCAGAGGCUGCACUUGUUUGCUAGUCUCUGUGGUGAGUUGAAGUCUGUAAUAGCUCUUAGUCAUCAUCCUGUCAAUACAGUGUCAGUGAGCCAGGGUGAGCGCAGGUUGCAGUAUGGACUCUGAAGGCCUAAAGCAAAAGCUCUUUGUCAAUGUUUUGCCAGACUGUAGGGAAACCAGUAAGGAGGGGUCCGGCAUGUGAGGUUUAGGGACAGCCACUCAUCUUUAUUUUUCAGCUGUGAGAGUUUGUUACUUUGCAGCAUCCAUUUCCCAUCCUUUCUACCACAGAAUUCAUGUAAGAGUAAGAAACUGAAAUAUGCAAAAGACACAUCUGGGGAAACGUCUGGGUCCAGGCUCACCCAGGAGAGAGGUAUACUGUAUUGUGGAGCUGGUACCCAGGUACAGUUGUCAUUGUCAGUGUGCUCAAGACAGCUGGUGGCGAUGAGAAGAAGGGUGCUGCCUUUUUCUCUGCAAGCUGGUGAGAAUCCAGAUGCAGCGUGGCCAGGAACAAGACCCAGUGUGCAGAACAGGGAUUUGUUCUCUUGCAGGUGGUGAGUUUUCUGGAACAUCUUUCUUACCUUUCCCAGAGAGUAACAGUGGCUCCUGUCUCCGUUAGCCCAGUGUCUUGGCUCAGAAGUCACUCAGUGCUGUCUUUCCCGCAGGCACACUUGGGAACACUGUGCAUCAAGUGGAAAAGGCUUCUCUGAAUAGGUGUAGCCUGUGGUGGUUUGCGCGGCUUGGGGAGCAGGUAAGAGGCUGAACUCCUGUUCCCAGCUCCCUUUUCUGUGGGUGCUCUCGUGCAAUGAACUCCCGUGUCACUAAGUAUGGGGGCCUUGUGUAUUAGUGCUUAUAUUUUCUUAUAGGUAUAAGAAAGGUAUAAAGGUAAGCUUCAGAAACCUUUCCAGGAGCAACAUGAGGUGUAAAACCAAAGAAUCUGUGUGACAGAUAAAUCUGAGUAGGCUACUCUUUCUCUGCUAGGUCGAGAGGAGCAAGUGGGUCUGGAGUGAAUGGUUUCUUACACCUGGUGGGUUAGGGAUGCAAUCCCAGAGAAGGAUACUCUAGAAAUGCAAUAUUCAAAGCAGAUUGCACAGCAGGCCAGAUCUCUGGUGAGAGGUGAGGCCAGGUGUAGGCAGGAAUUUAGCAUGGAUCUUCCAUCCACUCCUCAUACUGGGGAUUGACCUCAGGGCCUUCACACUGGGCUACAUUCCAAACCCUUUUUAUGUUUUAUUUUGAGAUCCAUCUCACUAAAUUGCUCAGAUUAAACUCAAAGUCCUGAUCCUCCUGCCUCAGCUUUCCAGAGUGCUGGGGUUACAAGGGUUGUGCUGCCACGCCCAACUCAGUAUGGAUUUUGAGUCCUGGAUGUGAAGCUUUUGGAACAGGAAGAGGAUAUGUCAGAUGGCAGCUGAAACACAAGAAAAGCUGUCCUUACCUGACCAGAGCCAGUGCCUUAGGAAAGGCAGGCAGGAGAACAGAGCAGAGGAGGAGGGAGGUAGUAGAGGGAGGAGAAGCAGGGUGAUAAUAGUGGUGCUUUUCUAAGGUCUGGGGGAUUCAAUUUUUAGCUCUGCUCACUUUAUUACAAUUUAUUCCUUCCUUCAAGGGCAAAUAUCUACUAAGUUUUCCUGGAUGCCAGCUACUGUGAUUGAAAGAGGAGUUCACAGUUCACUGAGGAACACAAAGUGCUGGUCAUACUCUGAUGAAAUACAGGGUUGUGGCCACACAGCAUGAAUAAGGAGUCAGUACUGGGGACAAGUAAAGGAUGGCACCACAUUCUCCUCUUACAACACUGCAUGAGGAAGGAAGAGUUUUCUGCGAUGUGGAACGCAGGUGCCACAAGAUGCGAUGAAGAACGUAACAGGAGCCAGCUUGGUGAAGGAAGAAUGUGAAUCACUGCACCCAGACUGAGACAACAAGUGACAGUGGGAGGAUCACAAGUCUGAGCCUAGCAUGGACAACUCAGUGACUUAGUGAGACCCUGUCUCAACAUAAAAAUAAAAAUUGUUGGAGACGUUGCUCAGUGGGAAGGCCUUGUGUUCAAUCCCCAGACACACAUGCACACACGCACGCACAUGUUUGUGCCCUUGGGGGUUUCUAAACGUCAAUGUCCUGUCCUUCAUAAGUCUGGAGAGCCUGUGGAGCCUUGCAGCCUGGUCUGGAGCUUUUGGAAUUUCCGUCACCUUUUGUUCAUUUACUAUCAGCAAAGCCAUCUGAGAGUCUAUGCUGUUAUCAGCAGUAGAGCACACAACCACAUGGACAGAUCCAGGAGAAAGAGUCAAAUAUCCAUCAUUCCAGAGAUAAGGUCAAACUCCAAGCUAAGCUCACCCUGGACUCCCUGCUGACUGGGAAGUUCAAGGCAUUGUAGGACAAAGCCAAGUUUAAACCUCCCCUGCUUCUAGUUAUAUGACCUUGGGCAAGCUCAUUACCCUCUCCAAACUGUAUCUUCCCAUUUGUAAAGCAAGGGUCAUCAUGUCUAACGCACAGGGCUGAAAUGACAGUAAUUGAGGCAAAGUUUAUAA